rnacentral:lncRNA from 1 species
GCUGGGAGUCCGGAGCUUUUAUCUUGUGAUGGUUUCGGUUCGGCUCUCAAAUGGAGGGAUGGCUACGUUGAAGACAGCUGGGGCUGCCGCACGCCUUCCUCGCCCUCAGAAACCACAUUCGCAGAAACGCUUUUAACUAGCAAGGUUUCGAGUUCCCAACCACAGCACCCUCAGUGAUGGUUUUCAGAAGACCUUGUUAGCUCCUCUGCUCCAGAGACCCAUCCUUCGCUGACAUCCCACCGAUUUGGGAGCAGGAAAAGACAGACUCCUGCAAAAUACCUCUUCUUCCAGUGCCCUGUACCCCUCUCUACUUACUUCGAGUCCCUGCAGUCCAGCAACAACCCCAAAGAGGGCCCGCAGGGAAUCUUGUUAAGGACAACUGCCAUCGAAGUUACAAGUUUGUUCUGUGAUUGAAGAGUUUGAGGUCUUCUAGAUUUCUUUGGCAUGACGCAUAACUAUUUCAAGAUACUAACAUUUUAACAUUUAAGGUUAAGAAUGUAGGUCAUUUCCCCAAAGGACUAACAGACUCGAGGGCACACACCCCAAAUUUUAUUUCUUUGACUCUGCCAUUGCCCCCAGAACAGUAUAUAAUGUAG